rnacentral:rRNA from 1 species
UGAGGAAUAUUGGUCAAUGGGCGAGAGCCUGAACCAGCCAAGUCGCGUGAGGGAAGACGGUCCUACGGAUUGUAAACCUCUUUUGCCGGGGAGCAAAGGGGCCAUUGAUGGCAGGAUGAGCGUACCCGGAGAAAAAGCAUCGGCUAACUCCGUGCCAGCAGCCGCGGUAAUACGGAGGAUGCGAGCGUUAUCCGGAUUCAUUGGGUUUAAAGGGUGCGUAGGUGGCCGAUUAAGUCAGCGGUGAAAGUCAGUGGCUCAACCAUUGAAUUGCCGUUGAAACUGGUUGGCUUGAGUACGUACGGGGCAGGCGGAAUGCGUGGUGUAGCGGUGAAAUGCAUAGAUAUCACGCAGAACCCCGAUCGCGAAGGCAGCCUGCCAGGCCGUGA